GACGAACGCGGGCGGCGUGCUUAACACAUGCAAGUCGAACGGAAAGGCCCUGCUUUUGUGGGGUGCUCGAGUGGCGAGCGGGUGAGUAACACGUGAGUAACCUGCCCUUGACUUUGGGAUAACUUCAGGAAACUGGGGCUAAUACCGGAUAGGAGCUCCUGCUGCAUGGUGGGGGUUGGAAAGUUUCGGCGGUUGGGGAUGGACUCGCGGCUUAUCAGCUUGUUGGUGGGGUAGUGGCUUACCAAGGCUUUGACGGGUAGCCGGCCUGAGAGGGUGACCGGCCACAUUGGGACUGAGAUACGGCCCAGACUCCUACGGGAGGCAGCAGUGGGGAAUAUUGCACAAUGGGCGGAAGCCUGAUGCAGCAACGCCGCGUGCGGGAUGACGGCCUUCGGGUUGUAAACCGCUUUCGCCUGUGACGAAGCGUGAGUGACGGUAAUGGGUAAAGAAGCACCGGCUAACUACGUG
rnacentral:rRNA from 1 species